CCAACACGACCGUACCGCAAACCGACACUGGUGCGCGAGAUGAGUAUUCUAAGGCGCUUGAGAGAACUCAGGAGAAGGAACUCGGCAAAUUGACACCGUAACUUCGGAAGAAGGUGUGCCUUUAGUAGGUGAAGUCCCUCGCGGAUGGAGCCCAAUGAGGUUGCAAAGAAUCGGUGGCUGCGACUGUUUAUUAAAAACACAGCACUCUGCAAACACGAAAGUGGACGUAUAGGGUGUGACGCCUGCCCGGUGCUGGAAGAUUAAAUGAUGGGGUGCAAGCUCUUGAUUGAAGUCCCAGUAAAACGGCGGCCGUAACAAUAACGGUCCUAAGGUAGCGAAAUUCCUUGUCGGGUAAGUUCCGACCUGCACGAAUGGCGUAACGAUGGCCACACUGUCUCCUCCUGAGACUCAGCGAAGUUGAAAUGUUUGUGAUGAUGCAAUCUCCCCGCGGAAAGACGGAAAGACCCCAUGAACCUUUACUGUAGCUUUGUAUUGGACUUUGAACAGAUCUGUGUAGGAUAGGUGGGAGGCUUUGAAGCAGGGUCGCUAGAUCUUGUGGAGCCAACGUUGAAAUACCACCCUGGUGUGUUUGAGGUUCUAACCUAGGCCCGUAAUCCGGGUUGGGGACAGUGCAUGGUAGGCAGUUUGACUGGGGCGGUCUCCUCCCAAAGUGUAACGGAGGAGUUCGAAGGUACGUUAGUUACGGUCGGACAUCGUGACGAUAGUGCAAUGGCAUAAGCGUGCUUAACUGCGAGACUGACAAGUCGAGCAGAUGCGAAAGCAGGACAUAGUGAUCCGGUGGUUCUGUAUGGAAGGGCCAUCGCUCAACGGAUAAAAGGUACUCUGGGGAUAACAGGCUGAUACCGCCCAAGAGUUCAUAUCGACGGCGGUGUUUGGCACCUCGAUGUCGGCUCAUCUCAUCCUGGGGCUGUAGCCGGUCCCAAGGGUAUGGCUGUUCGCCAUUUAAAGAGGUACGUGAGCUGGGUUUAAAACGUCGUGAGACAGUUUGGUCCCUAUCUUCCGUGGGCGCUGCAGAUUUGAGGAAGCCUGCUCCUAGUACGAGAGGACCGGAGUGGACGCACCUCUGGUGUAUCGGUUGUCACGCCAGUGGCAUUGCCGAGUAGCUAUGUGCGGAAGAGAUAACCGCUGAAAGCAUCUAAGCGGGAAACUCGUUUCAAGAUGAGAUCUGCCGGGGCCUUGAGCCCCCUGAAGAGUCGUUCAAGACCAGGACGUUGAUAGGUCGGGUGUGGAAGCGCAGUAAUGCGUUAAGCUAACCGAUACUAAUUGCUCGUGCGGCUUGACCCC
rnacentral:rRNA from 1 species